GCUCUCAGCAUCACUCAUGCUGCACCACAGAAAAUAAAUCAGACUUCAUAACAUAGGCAAGAUGUUAUGAGAAACGCCCCUGAGUUCUGGUCUGAAAAUCACCAUGUCUCUGGAAAGGAGAAGGCUGGAGCACCCCUCCUACGAAGAGAGGCUGACGGAGCUGGGCUUGCUCAGCCUGGAGAAGAGAAGGCUCCAGAGAGACCUCACUGUGUUCAGCCAGUACUUAAAGGGAGAUUAUAAACAGGAGGGGAAUGAACUUUUAAAACAGAGAGAAAUGGGACUGGAGGAGGAACGUAGCCCACAGAGUGCUUCAGUAUGAUGCCAUCCCCCAACUGAGCUGUUUCUGCAUCUGGCCAUCAAAGCUCUUGUCGUGUGGACGAAAUCUUGAGACACAUUCAAGACGAUUUACUAUUCUGCUCUACAAAUUGGAUAUUUACAGGCCUGGAUUGAACAUCUAUAUUCCUCUACCCAGAAGUAGCACAUAUUGACCCAAUUUCUGUGCUUAAUAGUAUGCUGUAAAUCCAGACCAACUUCACAUAUUUCAGCAGAUUUACUUCAAGGUGACUGAGAUUAGAACAUGACGUAGAGAAAUAUGUUGCUUCAGCCACAACUAUCUUUUCACUUGUUGGUUUAACACCCCUGUGCUGCUUAAUUAGGGGAAUGCUUCAGAUCUGAUCUUAAACAAACCAAUAAACCCAAAG
ensembl:lncRNA